ACGCUACGUCAUAACAAGAUCAUUUUUACUAAACACGCAACAGUUUCCGAGAUCUUUACUUCAAACUUUAAACAUGUCUUCGAUUGCGAGAGCUGUUUUUAAAGUCACUAUUGGCUGGCUGGUGGAUAAAGGCAGAGAUAAGGCAGCGGAGAAGCUGAGAGAUGGCGAUGUAACGGAUCAAAAAUUUCGUGCAUUGAUCGUCCGUGAAAUCGACGAUAUCAAGUCCAAGUUGGAUGGAUUAUCAAGGAAAGAUUUGGGAGCAAGUAUCAGCUUCUUUGAGGAAGGAAUCGAGUUGUUGUAUGAUUUUUUUUUCAAAGCAAGGUCCAGAAGCGAGCACAGCGCGGCAACAACGCAAGCAGCUUGUGAUGAAGCAUUUUCUCUCGCCGUACGAAUGGCAACGUUGGAGCUUACUGACCUGGAAAAAUUAGCCGUGGAGGCGCUUUCCAAGGCAAAGAAGAGAUUCAAAGAUUCUCGCAGAAAAGCAACAGAGGCCUUUAAAAAUGAAGCUCUAGGAACGUCCGACCGAAUUCUAGCGAUGCAAUAUCGAGUUAUGGCGACAAUACUGGAGACAGUAGACAAUCCCGAGCAUGCAUUAGCACCAUGUAGAGUGUGCCUUAAAGAACUGAACUCUUUGUCAGCAGUUCAGAAAAAUUUUGAUGCUCAGCUCAAGAAAGGCCUUAAGGCAGCAAUGAGUUUGGUUGGUAAAGAUGAACGCAGGAAGAUCAUUUCCAGUGUCUGUCACGUGAAUCGUUUCAUCUACGAUGUCACGCAAACAGUCGGGAAAGACGUAUCUUUCUGGAUCUGGCCUGCUGUUGAUAUCGGAGAAGACAAAGUGGAUCCAUUGCGUGACGGACGAGUAGCUAAAGUUCUGUGUAUACAGGGUAUGAAACACUGUUUAGUUACACCAUGGUCAUUUGGUCAGGAAGGUGAAGAGGAGCACAAGCUAAAGAACCCGACUGGAAUCGCUACAAAUUCCAGGGGCCAAUUCAUUGUUGGAGAGUAUGAAAACGACGUAAAGAUGUUUGAUCCUAGUGGUCAGUUCAUACAACAUUUCAGCGUCCCUAAUGAUGACUUUGAAACAGAGUUUUAUAUUCUUGAUGUAGCCACAGACAACCAGGACAACAUCUAUGUACUGGUCAGAUACGAGAAGGAGACUGGAUCUAAGGGAUUGGUUGUUUAUGAAUUUAGCAACACCGCUGGCCUGUAUCACAAGUUUCCUGUGAGGGGAGAGGACUGGGACAGAUCCUGGCACAGCAGACUGACAGUCACCAAAGGUCAAGUACUGGUACUGAGAAGGUCUAGUGUAGCUGUGUAUGAUUCUGAUGGAUUGUUUGUUCGUUCGUUCGGAGAAGGAACAUUGAAGUAUGCGAGUGAUAUCACUGCUGCUAAUAAUGGCCCUGUUAUGGUAGUGGAGUCGUUUCCUCCUUGUGUUGACAUAUUCAGUGAAGACGGUGUCCAUUUGAAGCAGUUUAAACUCCAAGGACGUUAUUGGUCUCGAAUUGCAUUUCACCGGAGUGAACAUGUCGUCAUCGCUGGUAUGGAAGGAGUGCCAGACGACCCUGGUCCCCUGCAUGUGGAAAUAUUUACCAAAGAUUGUGACUUUGUGCGCAGCACUCAAAUCCAUGAAGAACAAAUUCGCUUCAUUGGUGGAAUGACAGUGACCAUGAAUGGACGAAUUGCUGUGAUUCUGGAAGAUAUCGAUCGCAAAUGCAAGGGCAUUGCAUCUACUUAUUUAAUUGCCCCUAACCUGGAGAAUUUGCCAAUUUUUUUCCAAAAAUGUAAGUACCAAUACUGAAAUUGAUUGAUGCAUACAUGUAAGAAGAGUUAUGUUAUAACACAAUUACACCAGUAUGAUUUAUUUUAAAUACUGUGCAAUUUAAUGUACACCUAACCCCGAAAAUGGCUAUUUGCUUAGAUGAAACUACUUGUGUCAAUCAAAGCAUUUCUGGGAAAAAGGUAUUGCAUUUGGUUGAAUCCUGGAUUUGCUAUGCCCUUUGGAAGUCGUGUUUGAAUUGUUACAUGACUGUGUGUAGGGAGUCUGGGGUGGGGGAUGCUAAUGACCUAUAUCCAGAAAACAAACACAAUAGCACCUCAGUCAAUCCUCUGACUAUUUGCUUAGGACAAUGGAAAACAACCUGAGCCUUCCAAUAUAUUUAGGGACUAAACGUCCAAAGUUUGUUGCAAAAAAUGUUUUUUCGUCACUGAAGUCAGGGUUAUGUUUUGAUUAGGAAGACUCUUAACUUUCAUCAAUCAUUACAAGCUUCUUUUAUAGCAAUUUAAAAAGCUUUGAGAGCUAUUUGCUUCAAGCGUCGACGGGGAAGACUUCCUUGUGGACUUAAGCUACGUAUCAGGAGUGGAGAGCUGGAUGUGAGACCUGUACUUUUUAAGCAGCAUGAAGCAACUUGGGGCUAGGUGCACUUUAAACUAUUGCUAAACUGUAAGUACUUUCCUAGAUUGUUUUUAAUAAUACCUUUUGUAGACACUCUUAUGAUUCUUACAUUUACCAUAAACAAAUUAACAAUCAGCCUGUCA
rnacentral:misc_RNA from 1 species